rnacentral:rRNA from 1 species
AUGUUGUCUGCUAGCACCGUAAUAUGUCCAUCCAUUAACCACUAUUUUGUCGAAAUACAUGCCUCUGCUUCUGGUUAUUACAAGCUAGGUAGUAUUGUGGCAGUGAUCGGAAACUUCUACACAACUCAUCACCAUCAUGUCCAUGCCCCAGACUUGGGUGAGUGCUCAAGGAAGAAUUUUGUAGUUCCACUGUUGGAUUCCAAGCAGGCAAUUCAUGAUCAGCCUUGCGCAAGCUAUGGAGUUUCAAGAAAUCGAUUGACAGGUGGAGUGACUGCUGGGGUCAUAAACGAAGAAACAAUGAAGUCACUGGACAACAAAGCAGAUUAUUUAUUCCCAAUGUCGUUGCUCUUGCAAAAUUGCAGGCCUAUUGGUUAUGUGAUAAGCAACCACUGGACCCUUUCUACAAGCACAUAA